rnacentral:rRNA from 1 species
UAGGGAAUCUUCGGCAAUGGGGGGAACCCUGACCGAGCAACGCCGCGUGAGUGAAGAAGGUUUUCGGAUCGUAAAGCUCUGUUGUUAAGGAAGAACGAGUGUGAGAAUGGAAAGUUCAUACUGUGACGGUACUUAACCAGAAAGGGACGGCUAACUACGUGCCAGCAGCCGCGGUAAUACGUAGGUCCCGAGCGUUGUCCGGAUUUAUUGGGCGUAAAGCGAGCGCAGGCUGUUAGAUAAGUCUGAAGUUAAAGGCAGUGGCUCAACCAUUGUAUGCUUUGGAAACUGUUUAACAUGAGUGAAGAAGGGGAGAGUGGAAUUCCAUGUGUGGCGGUGAAAUGCGUAGAUAUAUGGAGGAACACCGGUGGCGAAAGCAGCUCUCUGGUCUGUAACUGACGCUGAGGCUCGAAAGCGUGGGGAGCGAACAGG